CAGCAGCCGCGGUAAUACAGAGGGUGCAAGCGUUAAUCGGAGUUACUGGGCGUAAAGGGCGCGUAGGCGGUUAUAUAAGUGAGAAGUGAAAUCCCUGGGCUUAACCUAGGAACUGCAUCUUAUACUGUAUGGCUAGAGUAUUGUAGAGGGUAGUGGAAUUUCCGGUGUAGCGGUGAAAUGCGUAGAGAUCGGAAGGAACACCAGUGGCGAAGGCGGCUACCUGGACAAAUACUGACGCUGAGGCGCGAAAGCGUGGGGAGCAAACAGGAUUAGAUACCCCCGUAGUCCCUGUCUCUUAUAC
rnacentral:rRNA from 1 species